GUGACAUUUCUUAUCUCCUUGUGUUUCUUUUUCUGCCCUUUCAAUCUUUGAAUCUGCACAGCUUCAUCCACAAGACUCUAAUUCACAUGCUUCAUCUGCCAAAUCCACCAGCUUAACUGCAAAAUGAGGAGGUUGAACCAUUAUCUGAUCUCUAUGGAUACCUUUUAGAACUGUUAAGAAUUCACCACUGGGCAUGGCGGCUCACACCUGUAAUCCCAGCAUUUUGGGAGGCUGAGGCGGGCAGAUUGCUUGAGCUCAGGAGUUCGAGACCAGCCUGGACAACAUAGCGAGACCCCAUCUCUACGAAAAGUACAAAACUUAGCCAGGUGUGGUGGUGUGUGCCUAUAGUUCCAGCUACUUGGGAGGCUGAAGUGGGAGGAUGGCUUGAGAGGUUGCAAGGAGCCGAGAUCGAGCCACUGCAUUCCAGCCUGGGUGACAGACCAAGAGCCUGUCUAAAAAAAAAACCAAAAAACAAACAAACAAAAAAACUUAAACUUUCUUGCAGAUGAGCAGUCUGUGUUAAAAAAGAAAAAAAAAAAAGAAGGAAAAAGGAUUCAACUUUCUCCCCAGCCAUUUUGCUCUCUCUUCCCCUGCUGCAGCAAUUGUGAAAGCCACGCAUUUAGAUGGUGAAGCCACAAAAUGGAAACAGCCUGGAUCCCUGAGUCACCAGAUGCAGAAACAGCUGCCCUGAAAAGUUGUCCAUCUUGCACUAUACAUGCCCAUGUACGAGAAAUACAAGCCUUUUCUGGCCGGGCGCGGUGGCUCACGCCUGUAAUCCCAGCACUUUGGGAAGCCGAGGCGGGCAGAUCAUUUGAGGUCAGGAGUUCGAGAUCAGCCUGGCCAACAUGGUGAAACCCCGUCUCUACAAAAAAUAUAAAAAUUAGCCAGGCAUGGUGGCAGGCGCUUGUAAUCCCAGCUACUCAGGUGGCUGAGGUAGGAGAAUCGCUUGAACCUGGGAGGCAGUGGUUGCAGUGAGCCGAGAUUACACCAUUGCACUCCAGCCUGGGUGAUAAGAGCAAAACUCUGUCUCAAAAAAAAAAAAAAGGCCUUUUCUGUGGUUAAGAAAUGAGAAUCAAGUUUAAGAUAUUUGAGAUUUUUCUUUUUAUUAUUUUUUUCCUUAGAGGUAAUUGUGGGGUGGAGGUGGGGGUCUUGCUAUCUUGCCCAGGCUGGACUCAAACUCCUGGGUUCAAGCAAUCCUCCAGUCUCAGCCUCCCAAGUAGCUGGGACUAUAGGUACACACUACCACACCAGUUUCUUUGAGAUUUUUGUACAUCGGGAUAUAUAGCUCAUUCUUUUUAAGAUUUGCCAAGUGUUCCAUUGUAUGACUAUAAUAUAUUUAGGAGGUACAUUUCUUUAAUUUAAAUUUUUGAAUUGAUAUUAUAUACCAUAUGGUUUUAAAUUAAAAUGGUUCAAAAAAGUAUAUAUGUGAAAAAUUCUCACUCUCAUUGCUGCCCUGAGCCAAUAAAUUCCCCACCAAAGGUAACCAAUAUUUCCUGUUCCUUAUGUGUACUUCCAGAGUUAUGUCAUACAUAGGAUAUUUAAAGGAACCUCACUCGUCUCAAGUUUGGCCGAGACACCAAAACAAUAAGGUCACACUUCAAAGUUACGGGCAAGUCCACCAAUACAGGAUUUGCAAAAGAAGAUUAUAGAAAACCAAUUUUCAUGCCGGGCGCGCUGGCUGACGCCUGUAAUCCCAGCACUUUGGGAGGCCGAGGCAGGUGGAUCACGAGGUCAGGAGAUCGAGACCAUCCUGGCCAACAUGGUAAAACUCCAUCUCUACUAAAAAUACAAAAAUGAGCUGGAUGUGGUGGUACGUGCUUGUAAUUCCAGGUACUUGGGAGGCUGAGGUAGGAGAAUCACUUGAACCCAGGAGGCAGAGAUUGCAGUGAGCCAAGAUAGUGUCACUGCACUCCAACCUGGCGACAGAGCAAGACUCCAUCUCAAAAAAAAAAAAAAAAAAGAAAAGAAAACCAGUUUUCAAUCUUCAUUCACUACCCAUCCGCAGCCUGCAAAAGAUGUUGAAGAGAUUGAAAAAAAAAAAGACUCAAGGUUUUAGAAAAAGCUAUUGCUGAACUGAGUCACUGAGUCAUUGCCUCCAACCUCAUCCUAAGGGGUACAUGCCCCUCACCUCACACUAAUAAAACGAAUUUUACUGGGA
rnacentral:lncRNA from 1 species